UACGUAGGGGGCAAGCGUUGUCCGGAUUCAUUGGGCGUAAAGAGCGUGUAGGCGGCCAGGUAGGUCGGUUGUGAAAACUGGAGGCUCAACCUUCAGAGGUCGACCGAAACCAUCUGGCUAGAGUCCGGGAGAGGAGAGUGGAAUUCCUGGUGUAGCGGUGAAAUGCGCAGAUAUCAGGAAGAACACCCGUGGCGAAAGCGGCUCUCUGGAACGGUAACUUGACGCUGAGACGCGAAACGUGGGGGAGU
rnacentral:rRNA from 1 species